GAAGACAUCACUGAUUCGUAUAUAUAGGUGUCAUGUAAUAGCAAAUUAAUGUUGGAACCAUGAAAUUGACUUAGGGCAGGGGCGUUUCACAAAGAAAGGAAGAAAAAGGAAAUUCUAACACAAUGAGAAGUGACAAUUCAAUUUGUUCCGUUCGAUCAUAGCUUCUGUGUGUUCUGCAAAAGUCUGAAUCGUGAAUCAAUUAUCCAAUCGGCGGCCUCUGUAGUUGCCACUGCUGAUCAACAACCACUUCACCAGAACCCUCAAACCUAACUCCUCUAUUCUUUUUGGGAAACCUUGAUUUGUUGUAUGGCUCAGAGAUAGGAGAUUUUGAGGGGAGAAAUUUGAAUUGGGUUGAUCUGAUCGGGCAGAGAGAAAGGGGGAGGAUAAAAGGCAUUAUGCAGACUCGGCAGCGAAGUCCGCGAGGGUUUUACACGGCAGAGUACCGGCAGCGUGAGGGGGGUCUGGGGAGAGGACGGAGAGGGGACAUAUUUGUCGAGGCUGGGCGGCUCGCGGCGGAGUAUUUGGUUUCCCAGGGACUGCUGCCGCCCAACGCUUUGCCGACGAAGUGGCAGAACCAAAAGGCUCCCGUGGAGGGUGGCGGGCGGCAGUCGGCGCUGACGAGACUUGGGAGCGUGGAUGGGAGGAGGAAAUUGGGGUUUGAAGAAUUUGGGCAGAAGGGGAGGAGGAGAGGGAGCUUCAGCAGGAGCAAUGGGAUGGAUUGGGGGAGGGAGUAUAGGAGGAAUGGAUCUUGGUCUGGUCGCGUACCCAACGAUGUUAGGGAUGGUGAGGAUGAUGAUUAUGAAAGUGGUGGAUUUAGUGUUAGACAUCAAGAUGAGGAGGACCAGCACCAUUACCAGCACCAGCAUCAGCACCAACACCUGAAUAGUAGUGACGAUGCUUUGGUAAAAUCAAAUUCGAAUGAAUUUUCGCCCAGAAGUGAGGAUGGUGUUGAUUUGAAUGAUAAGGAUAGGGAUAAGGAGAGGGUGAGUGCUGAAUUGUUGGAGAUGAAGCAGAGUGGUGUAGGGAAAGAUGUGUGUGAUGUGGAUAUGGGGGUUGGUGUUGGUAAUGAUUUGGAGGGUGUGAGUGUUGGGGUUAAGGAGGUGAAGGAUGGUGGUGCUCGCGAUGAUGAUAGUGAGAGACUGAGGAAUGUGUCUGCGCAGUUGAGUGAUCAAGAGAAUAGUAGCUCUGGUGGGGCUGUUGCUGAUUUGGUUUCACUCUGCAAGUCUGUGAAGGUGCCCACCAGGACGCGCUCUUCGAUCACACGCAAGAAUUUGAAAGCUUGGAACAAUGGAGAUGGUACUGGGAGUGCACGUGAUGUUGUGGAUCUUCAAGGAGCUGACUCAGCUAAGGAAGUAUUGGCUGAAAAUGAGUCUGUUAAAGGCUCCUCAUCGGGUGAGUUACUAGGGGAGAAAAGUUAUGAUAUGGUGCAUGUUGAUGCGGAUGUUGCCGAGGUAGAACCUGUUUGUGUUGCCGAGGAUGUGAGAGACUUGGAUGCUGUGUCUAAAGCUGAGGAUGUGAGAGAAUUAGAUGCUGUGUCUAAAGUCGAGGAUGUGAAAGAAUUAGGAUGUCAGUCUGGUCAGGAUAGAAGCUUUAUUCAAGAUAACAACCAAGAGUCUAGUGCUACACUACCGGGGUAUGGAGUUUGCAAUUCCUUGGAUGGGAAACAGGGUCAAAAGCGGGUUGCGGAAGAUGACGACGAUGAUGUGAGGGAGGACAGCAAGAGACUGAGGGAAUGGUUGCCUUCCCUUGUUCCUAAGACUGGGGGUUACUUUUUACAUGGUAAUCCAAUUGAAGUGAAAGAGAGCCAGGUAGAAGAUGGUAUUUCACACAUUGACAAAGUUACUAUGACUUCUGAUCAGGGGAGUCUGAUGGGUAGCGGUUCUCAGUUCACAGUAGGUGGAGAUAGACCUUUUCUUCAGUGUCCGGACGAGAAGCCUUCUUUGCCGAGUUCGUUUAGAACCUGUGAUCUGAAUCUCAUUGAAGUGUCUGAAGGGAAUGAAAGUCAUGUUGAUCACCCAGUUCUUAUUUAUUCCCCCUCGGUCUCUGAAGCAAAGAAAGCCGUGCCAAUUGACAUAGAUCUGAGCAUGAGUCAUACUAGUGUAUCAAGCAAAUUCAAUACUCACGCAGCGAAUGGCAAAGAGAUUGAAGUAAUUGAUUUAGAAAAUGAUUCCAUUCAAGAAGAAAAGUCAAUUGACAAUAUGGAUAGAAAGACAGAGACUAUGUUUCCUGGCCUUGAAGGUUUUUCCAACCAAGCUCAAAAUGCUGCUGACAUACAUGAUGUUCAGGAUGGAUAUGGGCUUAUGAUAUCAGAGUUGCUUGGGCCAGAUUUCACUAACUGUUCUUCAGUACCACCCGUUGACAUAAGUUCUGUGCACAGCGAAAUGGGCCUUCAUAAUGGAACGGGGACACUUGCUGAAGAUGACUCGAUAUAUAUGUCGCUUGGAGAAUUAAGUAUGCCAGAUUUUUAUUAAUGGACAGGGACACUUCAUCAAUCUUCAUGCAAUCUCAACCCUCCGCAAAGUGGCAUUUUAAAGUGUAAAGACCGUUAGUUAAAAGAAUGCUCAUAUUUUAGCCCUUCGAAGUAAUGUUCUUUUGAGAUUUUGUGGUGGUGGGUGAUGCAUCUCUCAUUGUGGAUUACUUAGUUGCUAACCCCCUAUGGUUUUACUAAACCAGAUUAUCCUUAUUCUAGAUUCAUCUGUAUCUCUUAUCCCUUUGUGGGUUUUGCUGCACUGCGCAUGUGCUUUGUUCUUGACCUUGUCCUUGAAUGGGACAAACUUUGUGCCAAGGCUCACAAAUUUAUGUUCUAGGGAUACUCUUGGCUUCAAAAAGGGUAUUGAUGUUCUUGAAACUGCUACCUAAUCGAUGCAAAUGUAACCUCCAAAAGUUCUGCUGAGCAUUCCCUUUGUAUGAGGCUCCUCAUGUUUCCUUGACUGGUUCUUCUGCAGAGUUCAGGUUUUAAUCGUUGUUGCUCACAUCCUAAUCGUAUUGCCAGACCUCUUAAAGCACCUGUUUUCUCUCUUUCUCCAAUUCUGUUACCUUGCAAAAUCCCAUCUAUGGUAACUAGUUUUUCUGUUUCUUAUUGCAAUGUUAUUUGUUCCACUCUUGGUCUGAAUUGCAUGGAUGAUUUUAGUCACCGUUUCUAUCUUCACUCUACUAUACUUUGGGCACUUCUUUUCAUUCUGUCUAUACCAAAUAUUACUUAGAAGUCUUUGUGCCAUUGUGCAUUUUGCAAGAACAAUGGUGGAUUGGACAGGAUGGUUACUUUGUGUUCUACUGGCACUUGGUGGCUGGUUCUUUGAUCUUUUUUCCAAAGAUACGUUUGGCUGUUUCUGUACACUUAAAGUUGGCCAACUGGCCAGAUUGGUUUUCUCAAAGCACGGUUUGGUUGCUUAUUGCUAGACAAAGAUGUGGGGGUUGGAUUAAGAUGAUACCUUCUGACCAGGUUUUUAUCGGCCAUGGGAGCAACCUCCAUCACAGGAUUAUCAGAAGCACUUUUGAUCUCUGGUCACUCAGUCCUUUCAGGAGACAUUAUGUAGUGGUAUGUUUUGUACUAGUCAACCAUGGUUCUUUGUUAGUCACCAGCUUUAUACAAAAAUGAAAUGCUGCUUUGUUUUUCCUUUUUCAUUAUUAUAAUUUGUCUCCUGUUUGGAAUUAUGUACUAUGUAAGCUGAAUUCUAUAUUGUCUAAUGUUCUACUAUCUCUUUUUAAUGCCUCUGCCACUGCUAGGUUAUUAGAGGAGAAUUGUGUCUAAUGAUGCAAAAUUGUAAAAUAUUCCAUUGUAACACAUUUGCCCAAGUAUCUGGCCAUUAUUUAAUACAGUGGCUUUGAAUUGAAAUUU